CUAGCGACUUCAGAGUUUGAUCCUGGCUCAGGAUGAACGCUGGCGGCGUGCAUAACACAUUCAAGUCGAACGAGGUAGCAAUACCUAGUGGCGGACGGGUGAGUAACGCGUGAGCAACCUGCCCUUGUGUGGGGGAUACCGUCUGGAAACGGACGUUAAUACCGCAUAACAUAGCGGAAUCGCAUGGUUCUGCUAUCAAAGAUUUAUUGCGCAAGGAUGGGCUCGCGUUGGAUUAGAUAGUUGGUGAGGUAACGGCCCACCAAGUCUGCGAUCCAUAGCCGGACUGAGAGGUUGAACGGCCACAUUGGAACUGAGAUACGGUCCAG
rnacentral:rRNA from 1 species